ACGGCGUUCUCGCCGGAUGUAGGAACCGACCCGGGGACCGCCGGGGCAACCCGGCGCCCCCGAGACGGGGCGAACCACGGUGAAAAUGACGGAUCGUCGGCCCCGCGCCGGCGACUCGCCGAAUGAGUUUCUGACCUAUCAACUCGAGACGGCGGGGUAGAGGCCCGCCGCGGUAACGACGGGUAACGGGGAAUCAGGGUUCGAUUCCGGAGAGGGAGCCCGAGAAACGGCUACCACUUCCAAGGAAGGCAGCAGGCGCGCAACUUACCCUAAUCUCGAUUCGAGGAGGUAGUGACAAGAAAUACCGAUGCGGGACCCUACGGGUGCCGCGUUCGGAAUGAGUACGAUUCGAACCACCUAACGAGGAACGAUCGGAGGGCAAGUCUGGUGCCAGCAGCCGCGGUAAUUCCAGCUCCAAUAGCGUAC
rnacentral:rRNA from 1 species